rnacentral:rRNA from 1 species
AACGCUGGCGGCGUGCUUAACACAUGCAAGUCGAACGGAAAGGCCCUUCGGGGUACUCGAGUGGCGAACGGGUGAGUAACACGUGGGUGAUCUGCCCUGCACUUUGGGAUAAGCCUGGGAAACUGGGUCUAAUACCGAAUAGGACCACGCGCUUCAUGGUGUGUGGUGGAAAGCUUUUGCGGUGUGGGAUGGGCCCGCGGCCUAUCAGCUUGUUGGUGGGGUAAUGGCCUACCAAGGCGACGACGGGUAGCCGGCCUGAGAGGGUGACCGGCCACACUGGGACUGAGAUACGGCCCAGACUCCUACGGGAGGCAGCAGUGGGGAAUAUUGCACAAUGGGCGCAASCUGGAUGCAGCGACGCCGCGUGAGGGAUGACGGCCUUCGGGUUGUAAACCUCUUUCAAUAGGGACGAAGCGCAAGUGACGGUACCUAUAGAAGAAGCACCGGCCAACUACGUGCCAACAGCCGCGGUAAUACGUAGGGUGCGAGCGUCGUCCGGAAUUACUGGGCGUAAAGAGCUCGUAGGUGGUUUGUCGCGUUGUUCGUGAAAACUCACAGCUUAACUGUGGGCGUGCGGGCGAUACGGGCAGACUAGAGUACUGCAGGGGAGACUGGAAUUCCUGGUGUAGCGGUGGAAUGCGCAGAUAUCAGGAGGAACACCGGCGGCGAAGGCGGGUCUCUGGGCAGUCACUSACGCUGAGGAGCGAAAGCGUGGGGAGCGAACAGGAUUAGAUACCCUGGUAGUCCACGCCGUAAACGGUGGGUACUAGGUGUGGGUUCCUUCCUUGGGAUCCGUGCCGUAGCUAACGCAUUAAGUACCCCGCCUGGGGAGUACGGCCGCAAGGCUAAAACUCAAAGGAAUUGACGGGGGCCCGCACAAGCGGCGGAGCAUGUGGAUUAAUUCGAUGCAACGCGAAGAACCUUACCUGGGUUUGACAUGCACAGGACGCCGGCAGAGAUGUCGGUUCCCUUGUGGCCUGUGUGCAGGUGGUGCAUGGCUGUCGUCAGCUCGUGUCGUGAGAUGUUGGGUUAAGUCCCGCAACGAGCGCAACCCUUGUCCUAUGUUGCCAGCGGGUUAUGCCGGGGACUCGUAGGAGACUGCCGGGGUCAACUCGGAGGAAGGUGGGGAUGACGUCAAGUCAUCAUGCCCCUUAUGUCCAGGGCUUCACACAUGCUACAAUGGCCGGUACAAAGGGCUGCGAUGCCGUGAGGUGGAGCGAAUCCUUUCAAAGCCGGUCUCAGUUCGGAUCGGGGUCUGCAACUCGACCCCGUGAAGUCGGAGUCGCUAGUAAUCGCAGAUCAGCAACGCUGCGGUGAAUACGUUCCCGGGCCUUGMACUCACGCCCGUCA